rnacentral:rRNA from 1 species
UACGUAGGGUGCAAGCGUUAAUCGGAAUUACUGGGCGUAAAGCGUGCGUAGGCGGCUAUGUAAGACAGAUGUGAAAUCCCCGGGCUUAACCUGGGAACUGCAUUUGUGACUGCAUUGCUAGAGUGUGGUAGAGGGAGAUGGAAUUCCGCAUGUAGCAGUGAAAUGCGUAGAUAUGCGGAGGAACACCAAUGGCGAAGGCAAUCUCCUGGACCUGCACUGACGCUCAUGCACGAAAGCGUGGGGAGCAAACAGG